AUGUUCUUCUUCGUGGGCGGCGUGGAGCAGGGCGCAGGACGGGUCCUCAAGGAGGCGGCCGGGCGGUGCCUGCGCUGUGGCGGCGUGACCGAUCUGGUGGAGACCGAGAAGGUGCUCAAGCUCUUCUUCGUGUCGGCGUGGCCGUGGCCGGGCAAGGACCCCGCCUACCUCUGUCGUGACUGUGGCCUCCUCGCGCCAGGGUCCCUCGGCAACAGGAAGCCGAGCCCGGGCCUGCUCCUCCCCCGCGUGGGGCAGUGCUGCCGACCGACAGUUCCGGUUCUGCCCCUUCUGCGGCUUCGCACUGUG
rnacentral:rRNA from 1 species